CGCUGUGUCCCCACGGCUCGGGAGCCACCGGAGCGAGCCCUCGGCGCUGGCAUCACGCAGUGCAGCGCCCUGGCAGGGGGAAUGUCACCGGGGCAGGUGGCACAGGGGAGUGGCCGGGGGGUUCGGGUGUCUCCAGCCCCUGGGCAGUGCUCACCCUCCAUGGGAAGUUCUGACAAGUUUAAAAAACUUGGUUUUUUUUCUUAAUUCCUGGCCGUUGCUGCUCAUCCUGUCACACUGAGCAGAGCCCGGCCCCGUCCUCUGACCCCUCGGGAGAGGUUUGUGCACCUUGGUGACAUUGGUGACAUCCUGUCAGCCUCUGUGAGCUGAACACGCCCAGCUCGUUUUUGGCUGAAGAGGAAUGAGGCAGCCCCAGACAGGUUUUACACGUAAAGCUGCCUCAUCCUUGUGAAAAGUUGCUUUUGUUCCGAUGAGUGUUCAAGAUCCCUGUGCAGAAAUGAAAGCUUGUCCUUCACUGCUGAUGAGAUUCCUGCAAGGAGUGACAUUUGGGGAUGACGCUGCUGGCUCGGGCUGCCAUGGAGAAGCAGGGAGCUGUUGCUGCUCUAUUUAUCCCCUGCAGAAGUUCUGGCAGUGAGUAACUGAUGGCUCGGGUUAGUCAGCCAUCCACCCUUUCAGUGAUUGAUGGCGACGUGAGCGAGCCUUCCAGAAUCCUCUUUGAAUAGCAAGUGGUGUCAUCCCGAGCUGCCACUUGCCAAAUUUCACUCCUCUUUCACCUUUUCUUCCCAUCCAAACUCGGCGUGUCAAAAGUUACUUUUUUCCCCCCUACAGAAUGUUGCCUAAUACUCCUUCUCAGUCACGUCAUCCUAAAUGAAGUUUUUAGCCUGCGAACAUUUAUUUGCUUCCUGCUCACUUUUGAGCCUCAUCCUGAAUAGAUGAUUGAGCCAGAUUUUGGUGCUUGGAAGAGAAAACUUCUGCAGAAGUCACAGAGCUGGAAAGUUCGGGUCACAAGAACAGGGCUUAAAAACGCAGCGAGAGGAACUGCACCCACAGGAAGGAAGGAAGGAAGGAAGGAAGGAAGGAAGGAAGGAAGGAAGGAAGGAAGGAAGGAAGGAAGGAAGGAAGGAAGGAAGGAAGGAAGGAAGGAAGGAAGGAAGGAAGGAAGGAAGGAAGGAAGGAAGGAAGGAAGGAAAGAAAGAAAGAAAGAAAGAAAGAAAGAAAGAAAGAAAGAAAGAAAGAAAGAAAGAAAGAAAGAAAGAAAGAAAGAAAGAAAGAAAGAAAGAAAGAAAGAAAGAAGGAAAUAAAGGAAGGAAUGGAAAGAAGGAAGGAAGGAAAAGAAAGAAAGAAGGAAGGAAAUAAAGGAAGGAAGGAAAUAAAGGAAGGAAGGAAGGAAGGAAGGAAGGAAGGAAGGAAGGAAGGAAGGAAGGAAGGAAGGAAGGAAGGAAGGAAGGAAGGAAGGAAGGAAGGAAGGAAGGAAGAAAGAAAGAAAGAAAGAAAGAAAGAAAGAAAGAAAGAAAGAAAGAAAGAAAGAAAGAAAGAAAGAAAGAAAGAAGGAAAAGAAAGAAAGAAGGAAGGAAAUAAAGGAAGGAAUGGAAAGAAGGAAGGAAGGACAAGAAAGAAAGAAGGAAGGAAAUAAAGGAAGGAAAGAAAGAAGGAAAGAAGGAAAGAAGGAAAGAAAGAAGGAAAGAAAGAAGGAAAGAAGGAAGGAAAGAAGGAAAGAAGGAAAGAAGGAAAGAAGGAAAGAAAGAAGGAAAGAAAGAAGGAAAGAAAGAAGGAAAGAAAGAAAGAAAGAAAGAAAGAAAGAAAGAAAGAAAGAAAGAAAGAAAGAAAGAAAGAAAGAAAGAAAGAAAGAAAGAAAGAAAGAAAGAAAGAAAGAAAGAAAAGAAAAUAAAGAAAAUCCUCUGCAGGGCAGCUUUCACGGCCGCUGAUGGUUUCUGCUCUGCUCCAAGGAAAGGGAUUCAAAGCCCUCCCAAAGCUGAGCAGAUUUUCCAGGACACGAACGUGGAGCGCACAUGCCCUCGUGUGGUGGCCGCUCCCGCACAUCCUCCCGCAGCUGGGAUGCCCCAAAGGAGCAGUGAAAACUGCGGGAUUUAUAAAAUUUCCUCGCUUUAAUAACUCCCAGCACGCUCAGAUCACUGCCAGACCUCAAUGGGUGGCUCAAGAGGUCGGAUCACACCUUUGGCUGCCAAAAUCUGGCUUUACACAGCUGAACUCCAGCAUCUGACAAGUUCUCCCUAUAAUUUUCCUCUUUUUUCAGUGCCUAAAAGAUGCUUAAUAGCUGCCAAAAAGAAAAAAUAAGGAGGCCUGGAAUACAGCAUCAAAAAUGGACAGAUUUUUGCAUGAUUUUCUGUAAUUACUGCACUAGAAACUCCAGAUAUUGUGGGUGCCCAGCCCUGACCACUCUACUGUACCAGGAUUUUGUUUUUCAGGAAAAAUUGUUGCCCACUCGAUGCAUUUUCCAAAACAAUUAGAAUAUUAUUUAUUUUUUAAAGGGAUUUCUCCUUUCAGGGCUUUAUUUGCUCCAUGUCCUGGUGGGGGAACAGCCGCCGUGACACUGCAGCCACAGCACCUGGGGCCUCUAGGAAGUGAGAAGCAGCUGUGACAACUGAAAUAUUUCAGUGUUUGCAGCAGUCAGCAACAGCUCAGGGAGAUCUAAAAACUUUUCCCUGCCUAUUUUGGCAGAAGAGAUUCAUGGCUGUGCCUGCACUCAGUUCUGUUGUUGUUUCAGCCACAUUUAAAACACCCUUUUGCCAAACCUUUGUUUCCUCCCAGCUUAUGAUUUUUUUUUAUAUUUUUCAUUUUCCUAUUUAUUUAUUGACGUGCAAUGGAGAACAGCAGACUUUUAGGCAACCAAAACACAUUUUAGGUGCUUUAUAGUUUUGUUCUACAGCAGUGCUGCUCUCCUGGAGCCAGAAAAUCACCCGCAGAACAAAAGGUGUGCAAUAUUUGUGUCAUUCCCCCUCCACUUCUGGGUCUCUGUCCCUUCCAGCAGAGUGAGGGAGAGAACUGGAGGAGUAAAAAUGGCCAAACUCAUGGGUUGAGAUAAAGAAAUUUAAUAGGCACGGUGGAAGUCUCACACACAAGCAAAGCAAACCAAGGGAUUCCUUCCCCACCUGCCAGGUUCAGCAUCUCCAUCACACACCACAGGAACUUUCAGCACCUUUGAGGAGCAGCAGGUCUAUAAAUAAAUAAGGAUUUUGGAUUGUC